rnacentral:lncRNA from 1 species
UCACAUUAAUCAUUCUCUUGAAUAAAAACACAACACCUCUCUCCUCUUCUUCACAAACAAAAAAAUUCGAUUCAAAUUCUUAAAAACUAUCUGAUUGUUUCUCUCUGAGGCAUUUCGUCGAACACAUGGGAGACAUAAAACAACCACGCCUCAACGACGGAUACGACGGGCCACUACAACCACACCUCAACGGCGGAUACGACGGGCCACUACAACCACACCUCAACGGCGGAUACGACGGGCCACAACCACCACACCUCAACGGCGGAUACGACGGGCCACAACAACCACACCUCAACCGCGGAUACGACGGGCCACCACAACCACACCUCAACCGCGGAUACUACGGGCCACCACAACCACACCUCAACGGCGGAUACUACGGGCCACCGAUUCCUCCGCCGCCGCCUAAACCCAAGCGCCGAUACAAAACCCCCGGAUGCUGCUGCUUCAGCUGCAUAGGCAGCUGCAUCGGAAGCUGUCUACGCUGCUGCGGGUGCUGCAUCCUCAGCC